rnacentral:rRNA from 1 species
AUUGAACGCUGGCGGCAGGCCUAACACAUGCAAGUCGGACGGUAGCACAGAGGAGCUUGCUCCUCGGGUGACGAGUGGCGGACGGGUGAGUAAUGUCUGGGGAUCUGCCCGAUAGAGGGGGAUAACCACUGGAAACGGUGGCUAAUUCCGCAUAACGUCGCAUGACCAAAGAGGGGGACGUUCGUGCCUCUCACUAUCGGAUGAACCCAGAUGGGAUUAGCUAGUAGGCGGGUUAACGGCCCACCUAGUCGACGAUCCCUAGCUGGUCUGAGCGGAUGACCAGCCACACUGGAACUGAGACACGGUCCAGACUCCUACGGGAGGCAGCAGUGGGGAAUAUUGCGCAAUGGGCGCAAGCCUGAUGCAGCCAUGCCGCGUGUAUGAAGAAGGCCUUCGGGUUGUAAAGUACUUUCAGCGGGGAGGAAGGCGAUGUGGUUAAUAACCGCAUUGAUUGACGUUACCCGCAGAAGAAGCACCGGCUAACUCCGUGCCAGCCGCCGCAGUAA